rnacentral:rRNA from 1 species
GAUGAACGCUGGCGGCGUGCUUAACACAUGCAAGUCGAACGAUGAAGCCCAGCUUGCUGGGUGGAUUAGUGGCGAACGGGUGAGUAACACGUGAGUAACCUGCCCUUAACUCUGGGAUAAGCCUGGGAAACUGGGUCUAAUACCGGAUAGGAGCGUCCACCGCAUGGUGGGUGUUGGAAAGAUUUAUCGGUUUUGGAUGGACUCGCGGCCUAUCAGCUUGUUGGUGGGGUAAUGGCUCACCAAGGCGACGACGGGUAGCCGGCCUGAGAGGGUGACCGGCCACACUGGGACUGAGACACGGCCCAGACUCCUACGGGAGGCAGCAGUGGGGAAUAUUGCACAAUGGGCGCAAGCCUGAUGCAGCGACGCCGCGUGAGGGAUGACGGCCUUCGGGUUGUAAACCGCUUUCGGUAGGGAAGAAGCGAGAGUGACGGUACCUGCAGAAGAAGCACCGGCUAACUACGUG